AUUUUACGUCCCUGCCCUUGUACACACGCCGUCGCUACUACGAUUGAUGGCUCAGUGAGGCGUCCGGACUGGCCCAGAGAGGCGGGCAACUGCCACUCAGGGCCGGAAAGCUCUCCAAACUCGGUCAUUUAGAGGAAGUAAAAGUCGUAACAAGGUCUCCGUUGGUGAACCAGCGGAGGGAUCAUUA
rnacentral:rRNA from 1 species